rnacentral:antisense_RNA from 1 species
UUUGGUACGACAUUGCUCACAUUGCUUCCAGUAUUUUUGCCCGCCUAUCUAGAGCGGGCUUUUUUUU